rnacentral:rRNA from 1 species
UACGGAGGGUGCAAGCGUUAUCCGGAUUCACUGGGUUUAAAGGGUGCGUAGGCGGGCAGGUAAGUCAGAGGUGAAAUCUCCGGGCUUAACCCGGAAACUGCCUUUGAUACUGGAGAUCUUGAGUCCGGAAGAGGUAAGUGGAACUGCGAGUGUAGAGGUGAAAUUCGUAGAUAUUCGCAAGAACACCAGUGGCGAAGGCGGCUUACUGGUCCGGAACUGACGCUGAGGUGCGAAAGCGUGGGGAGCAAACAGG